rnacentral:rRNA from 1 species
GAAUUUUGGACAAUGGGCGACAGCCUGAUCCAGCAAUGCCGCGUGCAGGAUGAAGGCCUUCGGGUUGUAAACUGCUUUUGUACGGCACGAAACGCUUUGGGUUAAUACCCUGGAGUCAUUGUGGUACCGUAAGAAGAAGCACCGGCUAACUAUCUGCACGCAGCCGUGGUAAGAUGUAGGGUGCAAGCUGUAAUCGGAAUUACUGGGCGGAAAGCGUGCGCAGGCGGUUUUGUAAGACAGAGGUGAAAUCCCCGGGCUCAACCUGGGAACUGCCUUUGUGACUGCAAGGCUAGAGUACGGCAGAGGGGGGUGGAAUUCCGCGUGUAGCAGUGAAAUGCGUAGAUAUGCGGAGGAACACCGAUGGCGAAGGCAACCCCCUGGGCCUGUACUGACGCUCAUGCACGAAAGCGUGGGGAGCAAACA